GGCUUGCAGCGGCUGUAGCAGCACUACAUGGUUUGUAGUGACGAGGAGAUACAGACCAUGCGGAGCUGCCUCUGCGGCGCAAGCACGAGCGAGCGAG
rnacentral:pre_miRNA from 1 species